rnacentral:rRNA from 1 species
UACAUGUGGGGCAAGCGUUGUUCGGAAUUGCUGGGCAUAAAGGGUGCGUAGGUGGUUUGUUAAGUCACGGGUGAAAGUUUUCGGCCCAACCGGAAAAUUGCCUGUGAUACUGGCGAACUUGAGUGCGUGAGGGGUAACCGGAACGAGCAGUGUAGCGGUGAAAUGCGUAGAUAUUGCUCGGAAGGCCAGAGGCGAAGGCGGGUUACUGGUACGCAACUGACACUGAGGCACGAAAGCUAGGGGAGCGAACGGG